GAGUUUGAUCAUGGCUCAGAGCGAACGCUGGCGGCAUGCUUAACACAUGCAAGUCGCACGGGCAGCUUCGGCUGUCAGUGGCGGACGGGUGAGUAACGCGUAGGUAUCUAUCCUUGGGUGGGGGAUAACCGACGGGAAACUGUGGCUAAUACCGCAUGACGACUGAGGUCCAAAGGCGCAAGUCGCCUGGGGAGGAGCCUGCGUCCGAUUAGCUUGUUGGUGGGGUAAAGGCCUACCAAGGCUCCGAUCGGUAGCUGGUCUGAGAGGAUGAUCAGCCACACUGGCACUGAGAUACGGGCCAGACUCCUACGGGAGGCAGCAGUAGGGAAUAUUGGUCAAUGGAUGCAAGUCUGAACCAGCCAUGCCGCGUGCAGGAAGAAGGCCUUCUGGGUU
rnacentral:rRNA from 1 species